UGUGUGUGUGUGUGUGUGUGUGUGUG
rnacentral:piRNA from 1 species